rnacentral:rRNA from 1 species
CCUACGGGAGGCAGCAGUGGGGAAUAUUGGGCAAUGGGCGCAAGCCUGACCCAGCAAUGCCGCGUGAAGGAAGAAGGCUUUCGGGUUGUAAACUUCUUUGACAGGGGAAGAGCAGAAGACGGUACCCUGAAAACAAGCCACGGCUAACUACGUGCCAGCAGCCGCGGUAAUACGUAGGUGGCAAGCGUUGUCCGGAUUUACUAGGUGUAAAGGGCGUGUAGCCGGGAAGGCAAGUCAGAUGUGAAAUCUGGAGGCUCAACCUCCAAAUUGCAUUUGAAACUGUUUUUCUUGAGUACUGGAGAGGCAGACGGAAUUCCUUGUGUAGCGGUGAAAUGCGUAGAUAUAAGGAGGAACCCCAGUGGCGAAGGCGGUCUGCUGGACAGCAACUGACGGUGAGGCGCGAAAGCGUGGGGAGCAAACAGGAUUAGAUACCCCAGUAGUC